GAAGAAAGUGUGGAGGUGUCCACCACGCUGAAAGUUGCAGUUUUGUCCUUUUUCUUCUGGUUGUAACUACAGCUGGUAAUUAGCACGAACCAGCAUUACAGGGCAAUGCUUCUGGAAGUGAGGUCAUGUGUUAUGCUUUGUAGAGCACAAUCCCCUUCAUCAAGAAGUGUCUAAUCCAAAUCCAUGUUAAAGACAGAAGAAUAUCUGUGACCUGAAAGUUUACCACCACCUCUCAUUUAUUUUAUUUUAUUUAUUGGUUAUUUAUGCCUGCCUUCCUCCCACUUAUCUUAUCUGAACAGCAGAUUUUGUAGGCAUGCAACAUACAACUCAUCUGGUUGGAGUCUUUCCUAUUAUGGGACAGUGAUAAGGCAAAGUACACUUGAAGACUGCCAGAGAGUCUCCUAGAGCUCCCUGUUUAUACCAGCCUGGUGGAUCAGAUUGGAAGCUCCUACUAUCAGUCCAUCAGACCAGGAACUCCUUGCCUGAGCACCACUGCACUUACCAAGAGGCCCUCCCAGGUACAAGGAUACCUGGGAAGGAGAUCCACAUAAUGGUGAUCGGCUCUCCAGACUGACUGGGCUGCAAAUGGGGCCCCAGGAAAAGAAUCAAAAGUAAGAAAAUGGCCUAAUAUUUGAUGUGGGGAAAAUCCCUGAAAAUGCUCCCUCCAGCAUUUUAGAACCUGCACAUAACAACAAUAAGAAUAAUAGCUGAGGCAGGUUUGGAUUCCUAGUUUUCUUCUGCAAACUGAAGGCUUGCAAUUCAGUGGAGGAUCCGUUGGGUGGAAGGCGGAAAACAACGCUUGCUGAUUUCCAUGCAUACAGCCCUGAUCAUUUUUCAGGGUCUCCCAAAUGUCCAGAGCACGUGAGGUCGCUAUAAGGGGAAGAAAGUACAGAGAUAAACAGCACCCUCCAUCUUCCCCUAGCAAGAGCAUUCAUUGUGUGGGACACUCUGUUCACAGAAAAUUCUAAUAAGGUGGAGAAGAAAACUCCUUGGGACCCAAGGCGUUGUGUUUCAACCAUCUUCAGUUUAAAAAUAUACUGUAUGUGAAAAAGAACUGACAGUGGCAUCAAAGAGCAGCAGAUAUCAAUUACAUCAAGAUAUCAUAUGGAAAUAGACCACACUUACGUUACUUUGGUUUCCAUACCAAAUUGCUGUUUAGAAUAAUAGAAUAUUUCAGUUACCAUAAAUAAUUAUAUCUUUCCUGCUCCAACUUAAAUGAUUAAAACCAUUCUGUCAAAACUUGUAGGUUUUUCCUCUCAGUCCAGCUGGAAAAUUCCUACUGGACUUCUAUAGCAUAAAGCAGAGAGAGGGAGAG